rnacentral:rRNA from 1 species
CUUAGAAGCAGCCAUCCUUCAAAGAAAGCGUAAUAGCUCACUGAUCGAGUCCUCAUGCGCGGAAGAUGUAACGGGGCUAAGUCAAUAACCGAAAGCGCGGAUUUGCAUGAAAGUGCAAGUGGUAGGGGAGCGUUCUGUAAGCCUGCGAAGGUGGUUCGAGAGGACUGCUGGAGGUAUCAGAAGUGCGAAUGCUGACAUGAGUAACGUUAAAGCGGGUGAAAAGCCCGCUCGCCGUAAGCCCAAGGUUUCCUGCUCUACGUUCAUCGGAGCAGGGUGAGUCGGCCCCUAAGGCCAGGCUGAGAAGCGUAGUCGAUGGGAAGCAGAUUAAUAUUUCUGCACCAUGUGCAAGUGCGAUGGGGGGACGGAGUGCGAAAGAUCAUCCGGGUGUUGGAUGUCCCGGUUUGUGAGUGUAGAAGGCCGACAGGCAAAUCCGUCGGCGGAUCUUCGAGACAAAGCAUCGAGGUUCUACGGAACCGAAGUGAUCGGAAGUGCUUCCAGGAAAAGCCUCUAAGCUUCAGCUUGCAUAUGACCGUACCGUAAACCGACACUGGUGGGCGAGUUGAAUAUACUCAGGCGCUUGAGAGAACUCGGGAGAAGGAACUCGGCAAAUUGACACCGUAACUUCGGGAUAAGGUGUGCCUUUGUAGCGUGAAGAGAGAAACACUCGGAGCGUGAAGAGGCCUCAGAGAAUCGGUGGCUGCAACUGUUUAUUAAAAACACAGCACUCUGCAAAGACGAAAGUCGACGUAUAGGGUGUGAUGCCUGCCCGGUGCUGGAAGAUUAAGUGAUGGGGUGAGAGCUCCUGAUCGAAGUCCCAGUAAACGGCGGCCGUAACUAUAACGGUCCUAAGGUAGCGAAAUUCCUUGUCGGGUAAGUUCCGACCUGCACGAAUGGCAUAAUGAUGGCCACACUGUCUCCUCCCGAGACUCAGUGAAGUUGAAAUGUUUGUGAUGAUGCAAUCUCCCCGCGGCUAGACGGAAAGACCCCAUGAACCUUUACUGUAGCUUUGCAUUGGACUUUGAACCGAUUUGUGUAGGAUAGGCGGGAGGCAGAGAAAGCGCAACGCCAGUUGUGCCGGAGCCGACGUUGAAAUACCGCCCUGAUUUGUUUGAGGUUCUAACCGCGACCCGUAAGCCGGGUCCGGGACCGUGCAUGGCAGGCAGUUUGACUGGGGCGGUCUCCUCCUAAAGGGUAACGGAGGAGUACAAAGGUACGCUAGGUACGGUCGGAAAUCGUGCUGAUAGUGCAAAGGCAAAAGCGUGCUUGACUGCGAGACCGACAAGUCGAGCAGAUGCGAAAGCAGGUCUUAGUGAUCCGGUGGCUCUGUAUGGAAGGGCCAUCGCUCAACGGAUAAAAGGUACUCUGGGGAUAACAGGCUGAUACCGCCCAAGAGUUCAUAUCGACGGCGGUGUUUGGCACCUCGAUGUCGGCUCAUC